rnacentral:rRNA from 1 species
AGUGAACGCUGGCGGUAGGCCUAACACAUGCAAGUCGAACGGCAGCACAGUAAGAGCUUGCUCUUACGGGUGGCGAGUGGCGGACGGGUGAGGAAUACAUCGGAAUCUACUUUUUCGUGGGGGAUAACGUAGGGAAACUUACGCUAAUACCGCAUACGACCUACGGGUGAAAGCAGGGGAUCUUCGGACCUUGCGCGAUUGAAUGAGCCGAUGUCGGAUUAGCUAGUUGGCGGGGUAAAGGCCCACCAAGGCGACGAUCCGUAGCUGGUCUGAGAGGAUGAUGAGCCACACUGGAACUGAGCCACGGUCCAGACUCCUACGGGAGGCAGCAGUGGGGAAUAUUGGACAAUGGGCGCAAGCUUGAUCCAGCCAUACCGCGUGGGUGAAGAAGGCCUUCGGGUUGUAAAGCCCUUUUGUUGGGAAAGAAAAGCAGCAGGUUAAUACCCCGCUGUUCUGACGGUACCCAAAGAAUAAGCACCGGCUAACUUCGUG